AUUCCGAACCCGGAAGUCAAGCCCUUCAGCGCCGAUGGUACUGCACACGGGAGUGUGUGGGAGACUAGGACGUCGCCGGAC
rnacentral:rRNA from 1 species